rnacentral:rRNA from 1 species
AAUGAACGCUGGCGGCAUGCCUAACACAUGCAAGUCGAACGAGACCUUCGGGUCUAGUGGCGCACGGGUGCGUAACGCGUGGGAAUCUGCCCUUGGGUUCGGAAUAACUCGCCGAAAGGCGUGCUAAUACCGGAUGAUGACGUAAGUCCAAAGAUUUAUCGCCCAAGGAUGAGCCCGCGUAGGAUUAGCUAGUUGGUGGGGUAAAGGCCCACCAAGGCGACGAUCCUUAGCUGGUCUGAGAGGAUGAUCAGCCACACUGGGACUGAGACACGGCCCAGACUCCUACGGGAGGCAGCAGUGGGGAAUAUUGGACAAUGGGCGAAAGCCUGAUCCAGCAAUGCCGCGUGAGUGAUGAAGGCCUUAGGGUUGUAAAGCUCUUUUACCCGGGAUGAUAAUGACAGUACCGGGAGAAUAAGCCCCGGCUAACUCCGUGCCAGCAGCCGCAGUAA